GAUGAACGCUGGCAGAAUGCUUAACACAUGCAAGUCAAAUUGAACUUCGGUUUGGGUGGCGGACGGGUGAGUAACGCGUAAAGAACUUGCCUCACAGAAAGGGACAACAUUUGGAAACGAAUGCUAAUACCGGGUAUUAUAAUUAUAUAGCGUAGUAUAAUUAUGAAUGCAAUAUGCGGUGUGUCGGAGCUUUGGGUUCUAUAAGCGAGUUGGAGAGGUAACGGCUCAGGCAGGCGAUGAUGGGUAGCCGGCCUGGGAGGGUGAUCGGCCACAAGCGCACUGGGACACGGCCCUUACUCCUACGUGAGGCAUCAGUGGGGAAUUGUGGACAACGGACCAAGAGGCUGAUGCAGCAAUUCUGUGUGCACGAUGAAGUUUUUCGGAAUGAAAAGUGCUUUCAGUUGAGAAGAAAAAAAUGACGGUACCAACAGAAGAAGCGACGGCUAACUACGUG
rnacentral:rRNA from 1 species